rnacentral:tRNA from 1 species
UGUCCUGUGGUGUAAUUGGCAACACGUCUGACUCUGGAUCAGAAGAGUUCAGGUUCGAAACCUGACAGGACAACCU